UACGUAGGGUGCAAGCGUUGUCCGGAAUUAUUGGGCGUAAAGAGCUCGUAGGCGGUCUGUCGCGUCUGCUGUGAAAACCUAGGGCUUAACUCUGGGCGUGCAGUGGGUACGGGCAGGCUAGAGUGCGGUAGGGGAGACUGGAAUUCCUGGUGUAGCGGUGAAAUGCGCAGAUAUCAGGAGGAACACCGGUGGCGAAGGCGGGUCUCUGGGCCGUAACUGGACGCUGGAGGAGCGAAAGCAUGGGGAGCGAACAGG
rnacentral:rRNA from 1 species